rnacentral:rRNA from 1 species
CCUACGGGUGACUGCAGUGGGGAAUAUUGCACAAUGGGGGGAACCCUGAUGCAGCGACGCCGCGUGGGUGAAGGAGUAUUUCGGUAUGUAAAGCCCUAUCAGCAGGGAAGAACAAUGACGGUACCUGACUAAGAAGCACCGGCUAAAUACGUGCCAGCAGCCGCGGUAAUACGUAUGGUGCAAGCGUUAUCCGGAUUUACUGGGUGUAAAGGGAGCGCAGGCGGCGCGUUAAGCCUGGUGUGAAAGCCCGCGGCCCAACCGCGGGACUGCCUUGGGAACUGGCGCGCUGGAGUGCCGGAGGGGUAGGCGGAAUUCCUAGUGUAGCGGUGAAAUGCGUAGAUAUAAGGAGGAACACCAGUGGCGAAGGCGGUCUGCUGGACAGCAACUGACGGUGAGGCGCGAAAGCGUGGGGAGCAAACAGGAUUAGAUACCCGUGUAGUC